ACGUACGCUGGCGGCACGCCUAACACAUGCAAGUCGAACGAAGUAGCAAUACUUAGUGGCAGACGGGUGAGUAACAUGUAGGUAUCUGCCCUUUGGCCUGGAAUAACACGAGGAAACUUGUGCUAAUACCGGAUAAGUCUUUACGGAGAAAGCUUUAUGCACCAUUGGAUGAGCCUGCACUUGAUUAGUUUGUUGGUGGGGUAAUGGCCUACCAAGACUGUGAUCAAUAGCUGAUUUGAGAGGAUGAUCAGCCACAUUGGGACUGAGACACGGCCCAAACUCCUACGGGAGGCAGCAGUGGGGAAUCUUGCACAAUGGAGGAAACUCUGAUGCAGCGAUGCCGCGUGAGUGAAGAAGGCCCUUGGGUUGUAAAGCUCUUUCGUCGGGGAAGAAAAUGACUGUACCCGAAUAAGAAGGUCCGGCUAACUUCGUGCCAGCAGCCGCGGUAAUACGAAGGGACCUAGCGUAGUUCGGAAUUACUGGGCUUAAAGAGUUCGUAGGUGGUUGAAAAAGUUAGUGGUGAAAUCCCAGAGCUUAACUCCGGAACUGCCAUUAAAACUUUUCAGCUAGAGUAUGAUAGAGGAAAGCAGAAUUUCUAGUGUAGAGGUGAAAUUCGUAGAUAUUAG
rnacentral:rRNA from 1 species